CGCUGAACUUCGUCUUCAACACAGAGUCCGCAACAGCCACAUGACCUAUGAAGUGCCUCGCAGUUACCCUGCUCGUCAUGAAACAAGAUAUUGAGAAUCAAGAAUGGUAAAGGAGAAGGUUCAACUUGCCUCCAGAUUGAACAUUCGGCGGAUAGCUGUGCGGGUAGGAAAUGUAAACCAUGGAGCAAGGCAGUUCCAACCAAAGAAUGAGGUUCCAAUUAAGUAGAGACCAGAAUAUGACAUGCAAUGGUUUGCAAAAGUCCCAGGAGUAGACCCAAGUCUCUCUGCGUUGCUUCCAUACAGCAUACAAGGAGCCACACUUCCAAUAAGACCUACAAACACUUAUUGCCCCAUCGAGACCCCAAGGAUCAGAAUGGGUAUUUAUUGGAAGAUUAAGGAUUAGGGAACUUGUUUAUUCAAACCAAUUAAAAGUGAGAAUGGUAUUAGAGAUCCAAGAAUUCUGCAUAGCCCAGAUCUUAUCUGAAACUCUAUUUGAAGAAACAACAGAGUACUCCAGCCUAAACAAGUGCUAGCAUACUAAGAUCAUGGUGGAUAAGGCACCCUAUCUAAAGUAAGAAGAAGAAUAUUUUGGUUGGAAUAAGCUACAAACCCAAAAAUCAGGGAAAAAGAAUCACGUAUUCCCAAAGCCUAACCUUUCAGCAAAAACUCAAUUCAAAUGAAGAAAACGAAUCA